AACGAACGCUGGCGGCAUGCCUAACACAUGCAAGUCGAACGAGAUCCUUCGGGGUCUAGUGGCGCACGGGUGCGUAACGCGUGGGAAUCUGCCCUUAGGUUCGGAAUCACAGUUAGAAAUGACUGCUAAUACCGGAUGAUGACGUUAAGUCCAAAGAUUUAUCGCCUGAGGAUGAGCCCGCGUAGGAUUAGCUAGUUGGUGUGGUAAAGGCGCACCAAGGCGACGAUCCUUAGCUGGUCUGAGAGGAUGAUCAGCCACACUGGGACUGAGACACGGCCCAGACUCCUACGGGAUGCAGCAGUGGGGAAUAUUGGACAAUGGGCGCAAGCCUGAUCCAGCAAUGCCGCGUGAGUGAUGAAGGCCUUAGGGUUGUAAAGCUCUUUUACCCGAGAUGAUAAUGACAGUACCGGGAGAAUAAGCCCCGGCUAACUCCGUG
rnacentral:rRNA from 1 species